rnacentral:rRNA from 1 species
AUUGAACGCUGGCGGCAGGCCUAACACAUGCAAGUCGAACGAGUGGGGACGGGUGAGUAACACGUGGGUAACCUCCCAUCAGAGGGGAUAACACUUGGAAACAGGUGCUAAACCGAUACUGAUGGAUGGACCCGCGGUGCAUUAGCUAGUUGGUGAGGUAACGGCGCACCAAGGCCACGAUGCAUAGCCGACCUGGGAGGGUGAGCGGGCACAAUGGGAAUGGGACACGGCCCAGACUCCUACGGGAGGCAGCAGUAGGGAAUCGUCGGCAAUGGACGAAAGUCUGGCCGAGCAACGCCGGGUGAGUGAAGAAGGUUUUCGGAUCGUAAAACUCUGUUGUUAGAGAAGCGGUAACUAACCAGAAAGGGACGGCUAACUACGUGCCAGCAGCCGCGGUAAUAC